rnacentral:lncRNA from 1 species
UUUUGCUUUUUCAUGAAGGCUAAAUUGCAGUGGUAAUGGCUGCUAGGGGCUUUGUUGUCAGAAACUGGCGCCACUGAGGGCAGGCCAGCUGCUGAGAGCAUCCCUGGUGCCUCUUGGGCUCCUGUGCCCUGCUCCUUGGACCCGGUGCCCCUGGGGGACUGCUUCACCUGGCACUGUCCUCUACACAGGCUGCUGAGGUCCUAUCUCCCUGACCCAUUCUCUCUCACUUAAACUGACACAGUAACCUCUCAGCUUUUCCUGUCCAGCAGCCAGAGGAUCUUUUUAUGGUAUAAAUCUAAUAAUAGCGCCAGCUUAAAACCUUCCAAUGCCUUUUCAUUGAACUUGGAACAAAAUACAAACGGCAUAGAGACUUGGUUCCCCUCCAGCCCAGCCUUUUACUGCUGUCUCUUGCCCUCACUGAGGUUAUGCAGGCCUCGGGCUUCUUGUUCCUGGACCCAGCUCUGUCUGCUGGGAAUGCUGUCACCCAAAAUUCACACUGCUGACUCCUUGUCUUUCAGGCCUCCCCUUAAAAUGUCAUCUCAGAGGA